rnacentral:lncRNA from 1 species
CUCCGAACUGCCUUCACUGGCUUUAAUCUAGUUGCACUUGGUAGAAAAAUCCAAGGGAAAGCUAGCUGAACUCGAACGAGGGUUCCGAGCUUGUCUAAUGUAAUUUUUUCCAAGUUAACUCGAUUAAAACGCGAGAAGGGGUAAGCCGAGUUGGUUUGAAGCUCCGAACUGCAUUCACUGGCUUUAAUCCAGUUGCACUUAGUAGAAAAAUCAAUUGGAAAGCUAGCCGAACUCGAACGAGGGUUCUGAACUUGUCCAAUGUAAUUUUUUACAAGUUAACUCGAUUAAAACUCAAGAAGGG